rnacentral:rRNA from 1 species
AGUGAACGCUGGCGGCAGGCCUAACACAUGCAAGUCGAACGGCAGCACAGAGGAGCUUGCUCCUUGGGUGGCGAGUGGCGGACGGGUGAGGUAUACAUGGGAAUCUGCCCAAUCGUGGGGGAUAACGUAGGGAAACUUACGCUAAUACCGCAUACGACCUACGGGUGAAAGCGGCGGAACGCAAGGCGUCGUGCGAUUGGAUGAGCCCAUGUCGGAUUAGCUAGUGGGCGGGGUAAAGGCCCACCAAGGCGACGAUCCGUAGCUGGUCUGAGAGGAUGAUCAGCCACACUGGAACUGAGACACGGUCCAGACUCCUACGGGAGGCAGCAGUGGGGAAUAUUGGACAAUGGGCGCAAGCCUGAUCCAGCCAUGCCGCGUGAGUGAAGAAGGCCCUCGGGUUGUAAAGCUCUUUUGUCCGGAAAGAAAAGCUUUCGGUUAAUACCCGGAAGUCCUGACGGUACCGGAAGAAUAAGCACCGGCUAACUUCGUGCCAGCCGCCGCGGUAAUAC